rnacentral:rRNA from 1 species
GAUGAACGCUGGCGGCGUGCCUAAUUCAUGCAAGUCGAGCGAACAGACGAGGAGCUUUCUCCUCUGAUGUUAGCGGCGGACGGGUGAGUAACACGUGGAUAACCUACCUAUAAGACUGGGAUAACUUCGGGAAACCGGAUCUAAUACCGGAUAACAUGUUGAACCGCAUGGUUCAACAGUGAAAGACGGUCUUGCUGUCACUUAUAGAUGGAUCCGCGCCGCAUUAGCUAGUUGGUAAGGUAACGGCUUACCAAGGCAACGAUGCGUAGCCGACCUGAGAGGGUGAGCGGCAACACUGGAACUGAGACACGGUCCAGACUCCUACGGGAGGCAGCAGUAGGGAAUCUUCCGCAGAGGGCGAAAACCUGACGGAGCAACGCCGCGUGAGUGAAGAAGGUCUUAGGAUCGUAAAACUCUGUUAUUAGGGAAGAACAAAUGUGUAAGUAACUAUGCACGUCUUCACGUUACCUAAUCAGAAAGCCACGGAUAACUACGUG